AUUGAACGCUGGCGGCAGGCCUAACACAUGCAAGUCGAACGAGUGGCGGACGGGUGAGUAAUGUAUGGGGAUCUGCCCGAUAGAGGGGGAUAACUACUGGAAACGGUAGCUAAUACCGCAUACUAUCGGAUGAACCCAUAUGGGAUUAGCUAGUUGGUGGGGUAAAGGCUCACCAAGGCGACGAUCCGUAGCUGGUUUGAGAGGAUGACCAGCCACACUGGGACUGAGACACGGCCCAGACUCCUACGGGAGGCAGCAGUGGGGAAUUUUGGACAAUGGGCGAAAGCCUGAUGCAGCCAUGCCGCGUGUAUGAUGAAGGCCUUCGGGUUGUAAAGUACUUUUGGUAGAGAAGCGGUAUCGGCAGAAGAAGCACCGGCUAACUCCGUGCCAGCAGCCGCGGUAAUUC
rnacentral:rRNA from 1 species